rnacentral:misc_RNA from 1 species
CAAUUAUUAAAAACCAUAAGAUUGCAUUCAUAUCAACAUCACGGCUUAGACAAUUUUUUUAAUUCUGAAUAGGAGAUUUAAUUGAACUUCUAUGUGUAAAGGUAAGGUAACAGUUACCUAUUAGAGAGUGACUUUGGUGUAACAUUCCAAAUAGGAGGAGAAUGGCAUUCAGGUGAGCGAAAGAAUUCACUGGUUCGCGGUAGAAAGCGUGUCCGCCUAUCAAACGAGUUUGCUGGUCUUCGAAGGAGUGGGCUAUAACACCUAGUGCAGUG